AACAUAAAUAUGAGGAUUAAGCCCCCAUCGUCUAGUGGCCUAGGACACCUCUCUUUCAAGGAGGCGACGGGGAUUCGAAUUCCCCUGGGGGUA
rnacentral:tRNA from 1 species